AGCGAACGCUGGCGGCAGGCCUAACACAUGCAAGUCGAACGAACUCUUCGGAGUUAGUGGCGGACGGGUGAGUAACACGUGGGAACGUGCCUUUAGGUUCGGAAUAACUCAGGGAAACUUGAGCUAAUACCGGAUGUGCCCUUCGGGGGAAAGAUUAUCGCCUUUAGAGCGGCCCGCGUCUGAUUAGCUAGUUGGUGAGGUAAAGGCUCACCAAGGCGACGAUCAGUAGCUGGUCUGAGAGGAUGAUCAGCCACAUUGGGACUGAGACACGGCCCAAACUCCUACGGGAGGCAGCAGUGGGGAAUCUUGCGCAAUGGGCGAAAGCCUGACGCAGCCAUGCCGCGUGAAUGAUGAAGGUCUUAGGAUUGUAAAAUUCUUUCACCGGGGACGAUAAUGACGGUACCCGGAGAAGAAGCCCCGGCUAACUUCGUG
rnacentral:rRNA from 1 species